AGUGGAGUGAGUUAGUGGAAUGUGGGACCUACUACCAUUUAUGGUAAAAAUGAAGAGUGACUCUUAAUGGGGGACGGCCCAAAAAGGAAAUUAGCGACUCUUAUUCGGGGACGGAGGGAGUAACUUAAGAAGCAUUGUUUUUCGUCUCCUCUUUCGUUUCUACACAUCUCCACUUGAAUGUAACCUUCACUUGCUAUGAAUAACAUGCUCUCAAUGUUACUGGUAAAUGAUCUAUGAGGUCAAUAUUCUGUUUUCUUGAUAUCUACCGAGGCCAUUAAAGGUACCAAACUUUCUUUAGUUUGGUAGCUAGAAACCAAGAAUUAAUGUGAUUGUCUGUGUGUUUGAUGGCUACCUUAUUUUCCUCGGCCACAGCCGGCUUAGGGUGGCGAACUGGUGGCCAAUGGCGGCUGUUGUGAUGGUAUAGAAGCCUGCCCUAUGUAGCUAGUUUUGAGCUUAGUAAUAGCAGGUAUGUAUGGCUGCUGACAUUGAAAUCAAUGGCAACAUUAAAUUGAAUUAGGUUUUUCAGGUUGCUCAUGUUAACAUAGACAAAUUAAAUAAUUAAUCAAGAUUGAGACAGCCAAUAAUUUAAUUUAUGCAGGUAUUUUCAUUAUCUUUUUUCUUGAAUAAUUUGAAUUGUUGAUAUGACUACACCAAGUGAGCACCAAUCAGAAAGAUUACUUGUAAAUGUUAUUUAUACAACAAGUUAUCCAUCUGAUUAUACCAUUUUCAAAAGUAAUCACAAUUUUUGGUU